rnacentral:lncRNA from 1 species
UACGAGCGAGCGCCGUUGUCGGCCAGACGGCGAAAGGUGAGGUUGAACCGCGCACUGGCGACUUUGGCCCUCUUGGGUACAUGGUGUUGGUAGAGGUCUUGACAAGCGCCGUGCAUGUGCAAGAGAUCGCCCGACGCCAGGACAAACGUGGUCUGUUGGGUGUGGUCGGCCUUGGCGCGCACCUUGAAAUCCCUUGACGCGCCCAGCGACAGGCUGGCAAUGUCGGUGCGGUCGAUCGAGUGCUCGUCGUCCGAGUGCCACGAGAUAUAGUCUGAACCGUCGCGGUACUCGUUGACGAGCACGGCCGUAUAGGUGCCGCGGGGUCUGCCGAGGGCGUCUUCGACGCGCGCGCACAGGGCCUCGACCGUAGGGGGAAAGUCGUCGGCGCCGGUGAUAGCCUUGCCCGAAUAGACGUAGGGCCGGUUGGCGAGACGCGGGUCGGCCCAUCGCCGCCGCACAUAGUAGGCCGUGAGGCGGGGCUCGUUCAACAUCUUGCCAUAGACACGCACUUGGCCCUGCGUCGUCUUGACCUCUUGGCGCAGUUUCGUGAUCGCGUCACGAGACUCCUUGUCUGCAAACACGCCCGGCAAGUGGGCGAUGCAGUCUGCGACGUUGAGCAAGGAACGGCGCGGUCUCUUUGUCUGCGCCGCCGCCGGCGCCGACAGGGAAUCGAGCACGGUCGGCGGCGAAAGGCCGCGCGGGCGCUUGGCGCUCGGCCUCGCUCGGGAUACGGUAGGGUCGCGCUCCAUGCGCUGGUGUUUCGGCUCUGCAGUUGAUCUCUUGCGUCUGCGGUUUUUCUCCUAGCGACCUUGUUGGGCCGAGGGAAAAAAAUAGUCGGGCCGCUGGUGGCUCUCUGGGUCAGCGCGGAGAGGAAAUAGACAAGAAAAUAAAUUAAAAAAAGAC